UCUCCGUUGGUGAACCAGCGGAGGGAUCAUUACUGGAAUCGCAAGAUCCCACAACCCUGUGAACCUACCGAAACGUUGCCUCGGCGGGUGCCCGGCCUCUGCGCCGGGCGCUGCGCCCGCCGGCGGCCCCCUACUCUGUCUCUGCAGCGUGGCAUCUCAGAGUCCCAGAAAACAAGUCAAAACUUUCAACAACGGAUCUCUUGGCUCCA
rnacentral:misc_RNA from 1 species